rnacentral:lncRNA from 1 species
AUUUUUCUCCCCAACGGCAACAGGGUGAGACGUUAGCAGCACAGCUGCCCCAAUGGUGGCAAGACCUGCUUACACCAAACCCCGCCCCUCCAUGCCUGGCAACUGCUUAUCUACUGGAGCAGGACUGACGCUGACAGAACCAGGCAAGCAAACGGCCUCUCCCCACCAGACCAGCACAGCCACUGGUCCCAGAACACCAAUAGACAACUGGAUUAUGCACUGAGUGUGAACAGCCAGACCAAAACCUCUGAUGUGGCCAAGAACAAGGACUGGAAGGAUGAGAGUGAUACAAAGGUCGCUUCACUUGCAUUUCUCAAUGUCUACUAUGUGUUGAACUGUAAAGAAGAACAAGCAAGGGCCAUUGAAUGUAGAAGGGGACACAGCUGAAUAAACAGGGAAUUUGAAAUUGUUACAAGUUUCGAAAAGAGUAAGUAUACAGGAAAAGUAAUACUAUAAUUCAUCUCAUGUCCACCCCCGUCCUCUGUGGAGCUAUAAACCAAUGUUAACAGAUUGGUGUGU